rnacentral:rRNA from 1 species
GACAGAGGUCCCGAGCGUUGUUCGGAUUCAUUGGGCGUAAAGGGUGUGUAGGAGGUCGGGUAAGUCAGGUGUGAAAUCUCACAGCUUAACUGUGAAACUGCGCUUGAUACUGCUCGGCUAGAGGAUCGGAGGGGGUAACGGAAUUUAUGGUGUAGCAGUGAAAUGCGUAGAUAUCAAGUGGAACACCAGUGGCGAAGGCGAGUCUCUGGACAUUUCCUGACGCUGAGGCACGAAAGCCAGGGGAGCAAACGGG